UACGAAGGGGGCUAGCGUUGCUCGGAAUCACUGGGCGUAAAGCGCACGUAGGCGGCUUUUUAAGUCAGGGGUGAAAUCCUGGAGCUCAACUCCAGAACUGCCUUUGAUACUGGCGAUCUCGAGUCCGGGAGAGGUGAGUGGAACUGCGAGUGUAGAGGUGAAAUUCGUAGAUAUUCGCAAGAACACCAGUGGCGAAGGCGGCUCACUGGCCCGAUACUGACGCUGAGGUGCGAAAGCGUGGGGAGCAAACAGG
rnacentral:rRNA from 1 species